rnacentral:misc_RNA from 1 species
GGAUGAUUUCCGUGCUAAAGAGAAGGCAGCAAAUGCAAAAGAGGAUGGGAAUUAGAGUGUGAUGUGGUGAACAUUCCAAUUUUGAAGUACAAUUCUAACAACUUGAUAGUUUGAGUUGAGGAGCAAGUUUGGUUUUGAGGCUAAAAUGGCUCUGUACAUUAUAUAAGUAAAUGCCUCUGUUAUGGCUGCUGCUGAGGUUACUUAUAAUUUGAGGCGAGGCUGUCUUUGGGGUAUAUGCCUUCAUUUUGGUGCU